rnacentral:misc_RNA from 1 species
CUGUGAAAACUAUAGACUUCUUGCUGCAUUGUACUUGCAACAUGGUUCUAUCAUUAAUGCAAACUUAAGACGGCUUCCAUUUUAAGAGGUGGAAAAAAAAAAUAUAUUCUUGCUCAUAAUUAACCCUUUACGUUUUUUUAAUCAGUUGGAUGUGUCCUCUGCUUCAUAGAGUUUGAUCUCUCGUUUGUUGAGUGGUUGAACUGGUCUUGCAUUUCUCUCUGCAUAAUCAUGAACGGCUUCUCUGAGUGCUUUAACUUGGUCUUCUGAAACAGUACUUAUCUUCUUGUUUAUGGUCCAAAUAACUCUUUCAAUGCAAGGAGGAACAGUUAAGGAACCCAAAUAUCUGUAAUAUCUCUUGUCACCCAUUUUGAUCUCUCUGGGAUCUACCAUUCCCAUGGUUCUCUCUUGCUUUUGGUCAUUCAUGGACUUUAUAUCACUUAGCAACUUGGAGAGGAAAGCAUCGGGUGGACC